GGCGGAAGGGGAGGUCCGAAGGUUCCGCUUCCGGCAGCGAAGGGGCUCGGGGCAGCUGAGUAGUAGGCACGAUGUCCGGUCGCGAGGGUGGUAAGAAGAAGCCUCUGAAGCAGCCCAAGAAGCAAACCAAGGAAAUGGAUGAGGAAGAUAUAGCUUUCAAACAAAAACAAAAAGAAGAACAGAAAAAACUGGAAGAGUUAAAAGCAAAAGCUGCUGGGAAGGGACCGCUUGCCAGUGGCGGGAUUAAGAAAUCUGGC